rnacentral:misc_RNA from 1 species
UCCUAGCCCCGAUAGAAACGGUUACCCCACAGCAUGUGGUUGGCUAUUGAGUCAGGAGCGAGGAGUAAAAGUGGAUAGCGGGAAACAGC